ACCUCAGAUCAGGUAGGAAUACCCGCUGAACUUAAGCAUAUCAAUAAGCGGAGGAAAAGAAACCAACAGGGAUUGCCCUAGUAACGGCGAGUGAAGCGGCAACAGCUCAAAUUUGAAAUCUGGCGCAAGCCCGAGUUGUAAUUUGUAGAGGAUGUUUCUGGCGACGCGCCUUCCGAGUUCCCUGGAACGGGACGCCAUAGAGGGUGAGAGCCCCGUACGGUUGGAUGCCUAGCCUCUGUGAAACUCCUUCGACGAGUCGAGUAGUUUGGGAAUGCUGCUCUAAAUGGGAGGUAUACGUCUUCUAAAGCUAAAUACCGGCCAGAGACCGAUAGCGCACAAGUAGAGUGAUCGAAAGAUGAAAAGCACUUUGAAAAGAGGGUUAAAAAGUACGUGAAAUUGUUGAAAGGGAAGCGUUCAUGACCAGACUUGGGCAGGUUGAUCAUCCGUGGUUCUCCGCGGUGCACUCUGCCUGCCCAGGCCAGCAUCAGUUCGCUCCGGGGGAUAAAGGCUCUGGGAAUGUGGCUCCUUCGGGAGUGUUAUAGCCCACUGCGUAAUACCCUGGGG
rnacentral:rRNA from 1 species